GUCAGUGACUAAACGCAUCAGAACAGCAUCUGGCAGGGGUGCUUUGCUGCAGAGCUUAAUAUGCAACUAGUGUUUUUCCUCCUGUGUCAGCAGUUAGACAAGGAUUUGGUAAAUAAGGGUUCCAGGGAGGCAAAUGCUCUGUCAGCCAGGGGAAGAAGAGGAGAAAGUUUUGAAAUCCACUCUGUGGUGGCUGUAAGAGAGCGGCAGCAUAAAAACCUGCUGGGACGGAGCACUAUGUGUUCAGUGGCUUGCACAGGAAAUUGGAAAUCGGAGACCUGGGAUCGACCCCCCACUUCUCUGACUCAUGCUUAAACAAACCCAACACACCCCCGACCUUUGCUCCCUGCAUCUGCAGCAGGCCUUACCCACCAACAGCUCCCUCUCUCACCUUCUUUGCUGGCACAGGGCUCCCUGGCUCACUGAAGAUCCACACUGACAAGCCUGCUUAGACCAGUGCUCCUAAGUGUUCCUGUCUUGAUGGAUUAGCUUGGCCAGGACAAGUUUACACAUCACUGGAGAAGUGUGAAGAGGGAGUGCGGAUGGAAAAAAAAUAGAGACACAAGAAGAGGUUUAUAAUGUUUGAAAUUAGGCAGCCCAGCCCGGAACUUUCCAUAAAAACUUUCUCCUGGCUCCUCCUCUUUCCUCCCUUUUAUUGCCAGAGUAUCUGAAUGGGCAAGCCUGCCUUGCUGUUUCCAUUACUCAAACACACACUUGGGUUUAAAGGGUGUGAGAACCACCCUACUUGCCCAUGUAGGGCUUUAAAAAAACAAAACAAAACAGGG
rnacentral:lncRNA from 1 species